rnacentral:lncRNA from 1 species
UUAGGCGACUGUCUAGGCAGUUUUCAAAACUGGAGGUUGGGAUGUUCUUAAAACUUUAUCAGAAACCUUAACAGUGAUGGGGAAAAUUAGAUCGACCCUGCCUCAGUGGGACAACGACAGCACAUCAAAAGCUAGAGGCUUGGAAAUUUGAAGAAAAAAAAUACCAGCAAAAGGAACACCAAGCUAUACCAGAAAAUAAGUUAUAUUUAUAAGGUUUGAUACAGAUGUGCCUGAAACAAACACCAUUUUCCUUUCCAAGGUGUGAGCUAAUGUCAUCAAUACUCGAAUGUUAAGGGCCCGCAUUAGCAUGAGGCCCGAGCCUUUUGUGCAUGAGAUCAACCUGAAAACCUGUUUUACAAGUUUCAGUUUAUUAAAACAUCAUAAUUGCAAUUAACCAAUAAAAAAAAUAACAAACAGUUUAUCAGGGAGGAAACAAAACAGGUAUUUUUGAUAUAGAUUUAGCAAAAUUCCAUGGAUAAUUGGCUUUUUGGUCACUGUACUAGGGCUUGAUUUUCAUUGUGGUUACCAAAACUUUUUUUGUUACAAUCGCGUAAUUAUACUCUAAAAUAAUUAUCAAAUGGGCAUUACUUACUAUUUCCGUCCAAAAAACGGACAGGAGUGCUGAUUGUACAUAAUUACCAAACGGAAGUUAGUGACAUUACUUUGACAGGUGGCAUAAUAAUACUCAAGUGUUAAAAAAAUUAUUUUAUAAUUAUUUAAAUUAUUUUAUUAAGUUAAGAGUGCUUAAAUAUAAUAAAACAUUACAUUUUAAAAUUUAAAGAUCAUGAACGAGAAUUUGCCGAUUUUAAUUCCUCCGCAAAUUCUCUCGCCGGCAACUUUCCUUCCAAAAUGACGCACCACCAUUAUCACCGCCUCCAGUUCUUCACUUCUUCAUCCAAUGAUUUUCUCUCGUAUUCUCUCUCCUCCAAAAUGGCCUCACAUCUACACAUCGGCAUCAAAAACCCAUCCUUCCCCUCAACACCCCACCGAAACUCGAAUCGGAGUUCUCCCACCACGACCCUACCAUUGCCCGGAUCAACAACGGUAGCUUCGGCUCUUGCCCAGCUUCCGUACUCAACGCCCAACAACACCAUCAGCUCCAAUUCCUUCGACAAUCUUAAAAUUCCUUCCCCUAUCCGACGGAAGACCUUGGUGUGAUUGCUGCAAUUGUUCCUUGUUCCCGUCAAAAGUUAGAAUUGAGAAGCGAUCAUAAAUGUGUUGUAAGGCCUAGCUCACCCCUUAAAAGAAAUAAGUGGCAUUCUAGCAAGUCUAACCCCCAUUUCAUUUCUCUCCAAUUUCAAAACCCUUUUAUUUCUCUCUCCAAAAUCGAAACCCAAUUUGAUUCGAUAUCUAUUUGUGGUAGAUAGAUCUGAUAUGGACAAAAUCUCUAGCCACCAUCGACGACAUGUCUAAACUUUCCAUUCUCUCUCAAUCUCUUUCCUCCUAAAAUGAUCAGAAGCCCUAUUUCGUUACAAAGAAGGGGAAAAAAAUAGGUAUAAUUUGUAUACAAACACGAGUAACAGAAAGAAAGAAAUUAUUUUUUUAUUAUUUAAAAAUUAUUAUUUUAAAAUUAUUAUUAUUAUUUAAAAAAUAAUAUUAUUAUAUUGAAAUUAUUAUUAUUAUUUAAAAAUUAUUAUUAUUAUUUAAAAAAUAUUAUUAUUAUUACUAUUAUUAUUAUUUUAAAAUUAUUAAUAUUGUUAUUAUUAUUUAAAAAUUAUUAUUAUUAUUAUUAUUAUUAAUACACAUGACAAAGCAUAUAUGUACAUAUCAGCAUUUCAAAAUCACGUGAUAUGUACAGUCAGCACUUCCGUCUGUUUUUUAGACGGAAAUCGUAAAUAAUGACCAUUUGGUAAUUAUUUUAGAGUAUAAUUACGCGAUUGUAAUAAAAAAAGUUUCGGUAACCACAAUGAAAAUAGGAUCCUAGUACACUGACCAAAAAGUCAAUUCCCCAAAAUUCCAUAACAUAGGAUGGAAACAAUAUAAGAUUUCUAAAGAGCAGUGAAACGUAAGACUUGCAAAUUGAAGAAGAGAGAAGUUGACUAAGGACAAAGAUUUACACACUUUGCGACACCUAGGUAAAAAAAAUAUAACUAAGAGACUUACGAAGGGCAGGAAGGAACAUAAAAAGCACAAACAAUUGAAGUAACACUAAUACUCCAAAUGACUUCCCCCUCCCUCCUUCCAAAGAACACAAAAAAUAGUUUGCUAAUCUGCCUUUACUUUCUGGGGUCGAAAGAGAAAAGGAGAAGUAAAAGACAUAACAUGUUGCAACCAAGUAUACUACACAAAAUGCCCCCCAAAUACUCCCCUGUUCCUCAGAAUUGCUCUCCUUGUGCAAAUGCUCUAUGAUAAGGCACUGAUCCACAAACCUCUUCCCUCUCUUAAAUUAUCGUGCAAAAACCACCAUGAAAUCGAAGUGAAGAAAAGAAAAGGUCUAAACCUUACAUAAAACAGAACAACAUAAAGGGCAGCUCCACUUGCAUAUAAAAGAAAUCAUGAGAUAUUUCGCUUUUGAUUUCACAAUAUUUCAAGAGGAAAUCUUAAAUUGUGACUGUAAAUUUAUUAAAAUGUCUGAACAAGAUGGGUGGGGAUGAAAACACUAUAUAACAUCAAUUCAUUCAUUUCUUCUCAUUAACCAAAAUGAAUGAAUUCUCAACCCUCACAUCGGGCGGGCACAGGGAGGAGACCAAAGAUAUAUAAACCACCUUAAUUCAAUUAGAAAUCAUCCUUGUAAUCUUCAACAUAUCCUUACUCAACAGAACUUCGGUUGUAGGACGAUAGAAAUAAUGAACCACAGGUAGCUCAAGUGCUGUAAGCACAAAGAUACAAAUGGACAUGAGAUCGAUGAUAAAAGAAGAAUGUGAGAAAGAAUUCGCUUUUCACUCCCACCUAACUGUGCAAAUGGUUUGCAGGUUCCCCUUAAGGCAAGAAGGAUACCAAAAAUUCUAAAAAAAUUAUGUUCUCCACAAAUGCACUCCAUACAGUAGAAUAUAAUGUUCAAGAAUCCCACAUAUCCCCAAUCCCUACAUAGACAGUUUUAUACUAUACAGAAACACAGGUUAAUCAUUAAAUGAUCGUGUGACAUGCAAAAGCCUCUCGCGCCAGUGUGAACAACUGUUUGAAUUUGCUUGAAUUAUAAGCUAUUCAAUAAUAGUACGAACUAGUGAAUGACAUGAUUCGUCUCAAAACCUUAAAUUUCAAGGGACUAGAACAUUCCUCAUAAGAAUGAUCAAUAGAUACCUGACAAGUUAAGACUGCAUGUACAUCCAUGCAGACAAUAUAUAACAGACAAGCUUGUAAGAUAUGAGAGGAUAUAGAAGAUUUAAAAAUAAAAAUGAAAGGAGAUGCAGGACAAUAAUGAAACAUUUAGUACCAAGAUAUAAAACCUCACCUCCAAAAUACAGGUUGAAACUUCCUCUCCCAGCACCAUAACCAAAACAGAGCACAAUGUUACAGUAGACUCUUGUUAUUCAAAGCAUGCCAGAAACUACCGGAAAAGAUAUAUUUGAUGUCAAGAGUGUUCCGCGAAACCCUUCCUCGGUUUUUUGCACCUCCAUCUUCUGGUCAGAAAGCUCAUCUGCAGAAAAUUAACAUUAGACAGGAUCAAUGUAUGCUUGAAUGAAUGUGCGCUAUUUUAGUUAAUGGAUCAUUGACUGUAUGUAUGCUUGAUCUCGCAGAUACAACUAAACUCAACAGCGCCUUUUUCACAAAC